AGAGACCAACUAAGUUUGUUCUUGGUAUGAGCUUUCGUGUGCAUGCACACUUCUUCAGAUAUUUCGUGCAUGCACACGAAAACUCAUACCAAGAACAAACUUAGUCGGUCUC